rnacentral:rRNA from 1 species
UCGAACGUAGUAGCAAUACUUAGUGGCAGACGGGUGAGUAACACGUAGGUAUCUACCCUUUGGCCUGGAAUAACACGAGGAAACUUGUGCUAAUACCGGAUAAGUCUUUACGGAGAAAGCUUUAUGCACCAUUGGAUGAGCCUGCACUUGAUUAGUUUGUUGGUGGGGUAAUGGCCUACCAAGACUGUGAUCAAUAGCUGAUUUGAGAGGAUGAUCAGCCACAUUGGGACUGAGACACGGCCCAAACUCCUACGGGAGGCAGCAGUGGGGAAUCUUGCACAAUGGAGGAAACUCUGAUGCAGCGAUGCCGCGUGAGUGAAGAAGGCCUUUGGGUUGUAAAGCUCUUUCGUCGGGGAAGAAAAUGACUGUACCCGAAUAAGAAGGUCCGGCUAACUUCGUGCCAGCAGCCGCGGUAAUACGAAGGGACCUAUCGUAGUUCGGAAUUACUGGGCUUAAAGAGUUCGUAGGUGGUUGAAAAAGUUAGUGGUGAAAUCCCAGAGCUUAACUCUGGAACUGCCAUUAUAACUUUUCAGCUAGAGUAUGAUAGA